rnacentral:rRNA from 1 species
AUUGAACGCUGGCGGCAGGCCUAACACAUGCAAGUCGAACGAGUGGCGGACGGGUGAGUAAUGUAUGGGGACUGCCCGAUAGAGGGGGAUAACUACUGGAAACGGUAGCUAAUACCGCAUACUAUCGGAUAACCCAUAUGGGAUUAGCUAGUAGGUGAGGUAAUGGCUCACCUAGGCGACGAUCCCUAGCUGGUCUGAGAGGAUGAUCACACACACUGGGACUGAGACACGGCCCAGACUCCUACGGAGGCAGCAGUGGGGAAUAUUGCACAAUGGGCGCAAGCCGGAUGAAGCCAUGCCGCGUGUAUGAAGAAGGCCCUAGGGUUGUAAAGUACUUUCAGUCGGGAGGCGGUACCGAAAGAAGAAGCACCGGCUAACUCCGUGCCAGCAGCCGCGGUAAUUG